GAUUGGCUGGGGAGAGUGGCCCAGAACAGGGAAGUGCCCUGGCCCUGGGAUCCCUUCCUUCCCCCUUGGAGUUUUGCUCAGAGAGGGGAACGUGGGGAGACACAUGCUGGGGAGGCCCGGCUCCGGCCAGGAGGAGGCGCUGUUCUCUCGGAAGCCUGGUCCCAGUACGCAGGUGUUUAGCCUAAAGGGAGGCCCGUGACUUGAGGCAGCUGAGUUCAAUUUCGGCGGCAGCAGCAGCCGCAGGAGCAGGCGCGAGAGCAGCUCCGGACAGCCUUAGGAGGAGAGUCCUGGAGCCCCCAAAUUGAUUCAAAUUCACAUUUAGCCGUGUAAUGGGCCUUAGCCUCAUCGGAGUCUAAUCUAAAACAUGAGGAGGAAGUAGUCUCCACGAGUAGAUGAUGAAGCCGACUACUAACCUGUCCAAGCGUACCAUCAAACAUCAUUAUUCGGUUCCAUAAAACCAGACUGGACAAAAUAACAUUCGAGAAAAUAGCUACCACCCCUUAUAUUGGACUUCUCCCCCACUGGCUAAACAAAAGGCUGCAUCUCUGGAUCGUGGCUUAUGGCAGAGGAGUUAACAGAUUCCUGGCCCAAAAUGGAGCACAUCUCAAAGAGGCUGAAAAUGAAGGCGGCUAGAUUAGCUGGCCUUUGAGGUCCCUUCAAACCCUGAUCCCUGCCAUUGAGAAGCUCAAGUCCAGUAAGGGACGUGAUAGAUGGACAUCUGCACAUACAUAAUUACAGUGCACCACCAAG